GACUCCAUAGCUCAAAGGAUAGAGCGUAAGCCUCCGGAGCUUAAAAUGCAGGUUCGAUUCCUGCUGGGGUCA
rnacentral:tRNA from 1 species